GGGAACGUAGCUCAGAGGGAGAGCGCCAGACUUACAUUCUGGAGAUCGCAGGUUCAAAUCCUGCCGUUCCCA
rnacentral:tRNA from 1 species